AAGUGGAGCAAUCCAUGAGUAAAGUGGCGACCGGGUGAGUAACACGUGACUAACCUACCUUCGAGUGGGGGAUAACCUAGGGAAACCUGGGCUAAUACCGCAUAACAUCUUUGGAGUGGAAACUCUGGAGAUCAAAGGGGCAAUUCGCUUGAAGAGGGGGUCGCGGCUGAUUAGCUAGUUGGCGGGGUAAUGGCCCACCAAGGCUUUGAUCGGUAUCCGGCCUGAGAGGGCGCACGGCCACACUGGAACUGAAACACGGUCCAGACUCCUACGGGAGGCAGCAGUGGGGAAUUUUGCGCAAUGGGGGAAACCCUGACGCAGCAACGCCGCGUGGAGGAUGAAGUCCCUUGGG
rnacentral:rRNA from 1 species